rnacentral:rRNA from 1 species
AUGAAUCUAGACAAUGCAAUCACUCUCCAAAUAGCUCAAACUCUAGAUUGUCCUGUUUCCAGCUUUCCACAAACUUACCUAGGCCUGCCGCUCUCCCCAGUUAAGCUGACUGCUGCGGCCUUUCAACCAAUUAUUACAAGCUGCGUUAGUUACCUUCCUGGUUGGUGUGCUAGACUCCUUUCUCGUCCCGGUCGUCUGGUGCUCGUUUCCUCUGUGCUAGACUCGUUAGCUGCGUACUUCAUGUCUGUCUUCAAACUGCCCAAAAAGACGAUUAAAAAGUUGGAUGCCAUUAGACGUGCGUUUUUCUGGGCUGCCAAUGAGACUUGUUCAGGUGCCCAAUGCCUUAUUGCAUGGUCUAACAUAUGUAAACCAAAAGAGUUCGGUGGUCUAGGCAUCAAAGAUUUAUCUAUACAGAAUGACUGCUUGCUUAUGAAGUUUGCUUACAAAUUCCUCGCCACCACCUCCCACCACGAAUUACCCUAG